rnacentral:rRNA from 1 species
AUUGAACGCUGGCGGCAGGCCUAACACAUGCAAGUCGAACGAGUGGCGGACGGGUGGGUAAGGACUGGGAAACUGCCUGAUGGAGGGGGAUAACUACUGGAAACUGUAGCUAAUACCGCAUACCAUCAGAUGUGCCGGGAUGGGAUUAGCUAGGUUGUGGGGUAACGGAUUACCAAGGCGACGAUCCCUAGCUGGUCUGAGAGGAGGACCAGCCACACUGGAACUGAGACACGGUCCAGACUCCUACGGGAGGCAGCAGUGGGGAAUAUUGCACAAUGGGCGAAAGCCUGAUGCAGCCAUGCCGCGUGUAUGAAGAAGGCCUUCGGAUUGUAAAGUACUUUCAGCGGGGAGGCGUUACCCGCAGAAGAAGCACCGGCUAACUCCGUGCCAGCAGCCGCGGUAAUAC